rnacentral:tRNA from 1 species
GCCUUCAUGGUGUAGUGGUCAGCACACUUGACGUGUAACCGAAAGGUCUGUGGUCUAAUUCCCAAUGAAGGCG